rnacentral:rRNA from 1 species
UGGGGAAUAUUGCACAAUGGGGGAAACCCUGAUGCAGCGACGCCGCGUGAACGAAGAAGGUAUUCGUAUCGUAAAGUUCUGUCCUAUGGGAAGAUAAUGACAGUACCAUAGAAGAAAGCUCCGGCUAAAUACGUGCCAGCAGCCGCGGUAAUACGUAUGGAGCGAGCGUUGUCCGGAAGUAUUGGGCGUAAAGGGUACGCAGGCGGUUUAAUAAGUCGAAUGUUAAAGAUCGGGGCUCAACCCCGCAAAGCAUUGGAAACUGAUAAACUUGAGUAGUGGAGAGGAAAGUGGAAUUCCUAGUGUAGUGGUGAAAUACGUAGAUAGUAGGAGGAAUACCAGUAGCGAAGGCGACUUUCUGGACACAAACUGACGCUGAGGUACGAACGCGUGGGGAGCGAACAGG